GUGGGGAAUAUUGGGCAAUGGGGGGAACCCUGACCCAGCGACGCCGCGUGGGUGAAGAAAUCCUUCGGGAUGUAAAGCCCUGUUGUAUGGGAAGAGCGGAAGACGGUACCAUACGAGGAAGCCCCGGCAAACUACGUGCCAGCAGCCGCGGUAAUACGUAGGGGGCAAGCGUUGUCCGGAAUUACUGGGCGUAAAGCGCACGCAGGCUGAAUUAUAAGUCGGUAGUAAAAGGCGGGGGCUCAACUUCCGUAUAUCUAUCGAUACUGUAAAUCUAGAGUAUGUGAGAGGGAAGCGGAAUUCCCGGUGUAGCGGUGAAAUGCGUAGAGAUUUGGAAGAACACCAGUGGCGAAGGCGGCUUCCUGGCACAAUACUGACGCUCAUGUGCGAAAGCUAGGGCAGCGAACGGGAUUAGAAACCCUGGUAGUCC
rnacentral:rRNA from 1 species